GAUGAAGAACGUAGCGAAAUGCGAUAAGUAGUGUGAAUUGCAGAAUUCAGUGAAUCAUCGAAUCUGUGAACGCACAUUGCGCCCUUUGGUAUUCCAAAGGGCAUGCCUGUUCGAGCGUCAUUUGUACCCUCAAGCUUUGCUUGGUGUUGGGCGUCUUGUCUCUAGCUUUGCUGGAGACUCGCCUUAAAGUAAUUGGCAGCCGGCCUACUGGUUUCGGAGCGCAGCACAAGUCGCACUCUCUAUCAGCAAAGGUCUAGCAUCCAUUAAGCCUUUUUUUCAACUUUUGACCUCGGAUCAGGUAGGGAUACCCGCUGAACUUAAGCAUAUCAAUAAGCGGAGGA
rnacentral:misc_RNA from 1 species